UCCGAUUUAACAUCGGCAGUCUCCCUAGAGUCCCCAACUUAAUGCUGGUAACUAAGAACAGGGGUUGCGCUCGUUGCCGGACUUAACCGAACAUUUCACAACACGAGCUGACGACAGCCAUGCAGCACCUGUCUCCGUGCCCCCGAAGGGGAAGCUGCAUCUCUGCAGCGGUCACGGGAUGUCAAGGCCAGGUAAGGUUCUGCGCGUUGCUUCGAAUUAAACCACAUACUCCACCGCUUGUGCGGGCCCCCGUCAAUUCCUUUGAGUUUUAGCCUUGCGACCGUACUCCCCAGGCGGGAUACUUAAUGCGUGUGCUUUGGUACUCAGAGGGUUAACUCUCCGAACACCUAGUAUCCAUCGUUUACGGCGCGGACUAC
rnacentral:misc_RNA from 1 species